UACGUAGGGGGCUAGCGUUGUCCGGAAUCAUUGGGCGUAAAGCGCGCGUAGGCGGCCCGGUAAGUCCGCUGUCAAAUCCCAGGGCUCAACCCUGGACAGGCGGUGGAUACUGUCGGGCUAGAGUGCGGGAGAGGCGAGUGGAAUUCCUGGGUGUAGCGGUGAAAUGCGCAGAUAUCAGGAGGAACACCAAUGGCGGAAGGCAGUCUUCUGGACGGGAACUGACGCUGAGGAGCGAAAGCGUGGGGAGCGAACAGG
rnacentral:rRNA from 1 species